rnacentral:rRNA from 1 species
AUUGAACGCUAGCGGGAUGCUUUACACAUGCAAGUCGAACGAGUGGCGGACGGGUGAGUAAUACAUCGGAACGUGCCCAGUAGCGGGGGAUAACUACUCGAAAGAGUGGCUAAUACCGCAUACUAUUGAAGCGGCCGAUAUCGGAUUGGCUAGUUGGGGGGGUAAAGGCUCACAAAGGAAACAAUCCGUAGCGGGUUUGAGAGGACGACCAGCCACACUGGGGCUGAGACACGGCCCAGACUCCUACGGGAGUCAGCAGUGGGGAAUUUUGGACAAUGGGGGAAACCCUGAUCCAUCCAUCCCGCGUGUAUGAGAAGGCCUUCGGGUUGUAAUGUACUUUUGGCAGAGCAGCGGGAUCUGCAGAAUAAGCACCGGCUAACUCCGUGCCAGCAGCCGCGGUAAUUC